rnacentral:rRNA from 1 species
UCCAUAGCUACUGGCAAUGAGCGUCGGAGGCAGGAAUACCACUGCCGCAACCGAGAAUAUUUUGAUGAUUUUAUUUUGUUGUAAUCCACUAAAACCCAUCGCCGCAUCAAGCAAAAAGUUUAAUUUAUCGAAAAUAAACUGGCUAUGGGGCAUCAGUGACUCGAUAUCUGACAACAUUUCCCGCAGAUCUUUAAGAUGCUCAUCGGACAAUUGUCCACGGUAGUAACGCUGCAUAUAACGCAGUGAACGCUGAGUAUCGAGCAAACUUAGACGAAUUUUUCCAUUGGAGUCUUCUUGCAAGGUGAUCAGUUUGAACACGCUAUCAAGUUGAUCGUUAUCAAAUACUUGCUCACCGACAUUUUCCAAUACGGUAUAUACGUCUUCGAUUAAAUCUGAAAGGUAGUCCACUUUGAGAUUAAAAAGCUCGAGGAACAACUCCUGUGGAGUAGAAACCUCAAGUCGACCUAAACGUAGGUAGUUACGUAAUAAGCGGAUAAGUCCUACAUCUUCUUCACGGAUAGUCAGCAAAAAAUUGCUGCGUAAAUUAAAUGAGACGUUUACACCGCGGACGUCUUGGCCUACACGUUGUGGAAACAGAGAGUUGAUAUGAAGCCCAUCGCUAUUUUGAUAAAAACGCGCCGACGCCUCAAUCUCAUUAAUAUCUUCUUCAUCAGGGACUUCUUCAACGGAAAAAUGACUUAACCAUUCUCGCUCUGCAUCAUCAGGUUUAUAAAGAUCUAACCAAAUGGUCGACGUGGGAAUACUGUCUUGUAUACUGAUUUCUGCCACGGUGAGGUGACGAUUUUCGUAGAUAUAAGCAGUAAUCAUUUGUCCUCCUGAAACAAAACCUAAGCGAAAAGGCCACUUAAGUGCAGGCUAAAAAAUUGUCGCUAGUUUACCGCAUAAGUUAGCAAUGAAAAGAUGCAUAAGAUAAUUUAGUAAAAUAAAGAAAAGUUAAUCUUCAAUGAUCUCUAGGCGCUCAGCCGUUGAAAAACGAAUAUGUAUCCCUUCCACUGUUACCAUUUUUGCCUCUGAAAUAUCCCCCUUGCGGGCUUGAUACACACCACUAUGAGUCCCAGUGGGUGACACAAUAGUCACAGUGACAAUUUUAUGCUGAUCACGCCAGUACCAUAUACUGUAGCUUAAGGUGCUAAUUCCAAUCAGUACAAAUAAUCCCGUCAUCAAAUAACGCCGCCAAAAAGGUGCAUAAGGCACUAUCGUUAACCUCUCUUGGUAAUGACUUUGGCUUUGAGAACCAACACUUCGUCCUCGCUUUAACAGCAAAAACCAAGCACCGAUAACGAUCAGUAGAGUGAACAGAAUUUUUGUUAGCAAGGAAAGCUCCCGUAAAACCAUACGCAGCAGCGCAUUAUACGCGAGUCAAAAUGGAUAAACUGCCUGUAAGAUCAAGCUUAAAAGGAAUAGGUGACAAAAAGAAGAACGCUAUCAUAGGAUGAUUCAUUACAAUAUCGAUUAAAACGCAUCAAAUGCUAUUGCCAUACGUUGAAUAUGCGCAAGGGAAACAUGAUGACGAUUAC